rnacentral:lncRNA from 1 species
GACUGUCUCAAAUGCCCGGCUGGUUUUUACUGUCCUGAGGGGAGAAGCGACCCUGUGCCCUGUCCACCAGGCUCCUUUAACCCCUUAGAGGGUCAGGAUGAGUUGGCUGAUUGCAGGGAGUGCUAUGCAGGGAAGGCCUGCACACAGGUAGCCCUGAGGGCCCCCGAUGUGGAAUGCAUGCAAGGGUAUGUGUGUCCCCCUGGUUCCUCUAAACCCAACGCGGCGACCAAUGCCUGUCCACCAGGGACGCUGAGCAAUCGCACUGACCUCACUGACCGCUCACACUGUCAGCAGUGCCCAGUGCGAUAUGCCUGUCUACGAGGAACUGGUGGUAUCCAGAGACCACCACUCUCCUGCUUUGCAGGGCAUUAUUGUCCCCCUGGAACUAUGUUCCCCACCCAGUACAAGUGUCCUGUGGGGACAUGGAGUAGUCACAGUGGGUUGGAAAAUGAAAGUGAGUGUCGGCCAUGCCCACAGGGCUGGUACUGUUUGGCUGGAUCUGGAGCUCCGUCAGGUCGAUGCAGCUCUGGACACUACUGUCCUGACGGGACUGCAUAUGGCACCCAGUUUCCUUGCCCUGCGGGAACCUACAGCAUCCACAUGGGCAACAGAUACCGAGAAGAUUGCCUAAUUUGUCCUAAAGGCUCAUUCUGUCAAAAGGGCACCUCCAAACCUUCCCCCUGCCCACUAUCCACAUUUCGCCAUCUGAAAGGAGGUCGGAGGCUGGAGGACUGCUUUGCUUGCCCUGCUGGCUAUUUUUGUCCCCACUCAGCCAUUGUCAACCCCAGAGUGUGUGGAGCUGGCAGCUACUCUGAUGAGGGCUCUGCGGGGUGUUCUCCAUGCCUGCAGGGCCACUACUGCAGUAAUGAGACCACUAGUGAGGAAGCCAUGUUAAGCAUCAUGGUGUGCCCCCCAGGCUUUCUCUGCUCUCAGGGUUUGGCCCGAGACCCUCAGCGCUCAGCCACCCUCUGUCCUCGAGGCUUCUACUGCCCCGGAGGAGGCAUUGAUCCCAACCCCAUUCCUUGCCCCAAUGGUACCUACAGUGAAUCUCCAGGUCUGCGUGAUGCCAGCGAGUGUGUCCAGUGUCCGGAGGGGAAGUACUGUUACUCCCAGCAGCCUCAGGAGCAGCCUAUUACCAGACCUACAGGCAUGUGUCCUCACGGGCACUAUUGCCCCAGAGGGACUGGCUACCCCAACACCUACCCCUGUCAGUCUGGCCAAUAUAGGAACAACACUCUUGGUCACAGUGGAGAAACAUGUGUUUCAUGUCCAUCCAGGCAUUACUGCGACAGACUAGGAACUCACAUGCCCUCAGUCUGCCCUCGGGUAGGAAUAUCCAGCAUUUUGACUUUGCAACUUUAA